GACGAACGCUGGCGGCGUGCUUAACACAUGCAAGUCGAACGAUGAAGCCGGAGCUUGCUCUGGUGAAUUAGUGGCGAACGGGUGAGUAACACGUGAGUAACCUGCCCUUGACUCUGGGAUAACUGCUAGAAAUGGUAGCUAAUACCGGAUACGACCCUCGGAGGCAUCUCCAGGGGGUGGAAAGAAUUUCGGUCAAGGAUGGACUCGCGGCCUAUCAGCUAGUUGGUGAGGUAACGGCUCACCAAGGCGACGACGGGUAGCCGGCCUGAGAGGGUGACCGGCCACACUGGGACUGAGACACGGCCCAGACUCCUACGGGAGGCAGCAGUGGGGAAUAUUGCACAAUGGGCGCAAGCCUGAUGCAGCAACGCCGCGUGAGGGAUGACGGCCUUCGGGUUGUAAACCUCUUUUAGUAGGGAAGAAGCGAAAGUGACGGUACCUGCAGAAAAAGCACCGGCUAACUACGUGCCAGCAGCCGCCGUAACAC
rnacentral:rRNA from 1 species